rnacentral:rRNA from 2 species
GUCCGAGUUGUAAUUUGCAGAGGAUGCUUUUGGCGCGGUGCCUUCCGAGUUCCCUGGAAUGGGACGCCUUAGAGGGUGAGAGCCCCGUACGGUUGGACACUAAGCCUCUGUAAAGCUCCUUCGACGAGUCGAGUAGUUUGGGAAUGCUGCUCUAAAUGGGAGGUAAAUUUCUUCUAAAGCUAAAUAUUGGCCAGAGACCGAUAGCGCACAAGUAGAGUGAUCGAAAGAUGAAAAGCACUUUGAAAAGAGGGUUAAAUAGCACGUGAAAUUGUUGAAAGGGAAGCGUUUGCGACCAGACCUUUUCCUGGCGGAUCAUCCGGUGUUCUCACCGGUGCACUUCGCCAGGUCGAGGCCAGCAUCGGUUUUCGUAGGGGGAUAAAAGCCUGAGGAACGUAGCUCCCUCGGGAGUGUUAUAGCCCCUCGCAUAAUACCUUUACGGGGACCGAGGACCGCGCCUUCGGGCAAGGAUGCUGGCAUAAUGGUUGUCAACGACCCGUCUUGAAACACGGACCAAGGAGUCGAACAUUUGUGCGAGUGUUUGGGUGUUAAACCCUCACGCGUAAUGAAAGUGAACGGAGGUGAGAGCCCCUUGCGGGGUGCAUCAUCGACCGAUCCUGAUGUCUUCGGAUGGAUUUGAGUAAGAGCAUAACUGUUCGGACCCGAAAGAUGGUGAACUAUGCGUGGAUAGGGUGAAGCCAGAGGAAACUCUGGUGGAGGCUCGCAGCGGUUCUGACGUGCAAAUCGAUCGUCAAAUCUGCGCAUGGGGGCGAAAGACUUAUCGAACCAUCUAGUAGCUGGUUACCGCCGAAGUUUCCCUCAGGAUAGCAGUGUUGUUCUUCAGUUUUAUGAGGUAAAGCGAAUGAUUAGGGACUCGGGGGCGCUUUUUAGCCUUCAUCCAUUCUCAAACUUUAAAUAUGUAAGAAGCCCUUGUUACUUAAUUGAACGUGGGCAUUCGAAUGUACCAACACUAGUGGGCCAUUUUUGGUAAGCAGAACUGGCGAUGCGGGAUGAACCGAACGCGGGGUUAAGGUGCCGGAGUGGACGCUCAUCAGACACCACAAAAGGUGUUAGCACAUUUAGACAAUAGGACGGUGGCCAUGGAAGUCGGAAUCCGCUAAGGACUGUGUAACAACUCACCUAUCGAAUGUGCUAGCCCUGAAAAUGGAUGGCGCUCAAGCGUCCCACCUAUACCUCGCCCUCAGGGUAGGACCGAUGCCCUGAGGAGUAGGCGGCCGUGGGGGUCAGUGACGAA